AUACGGAGGGUGCAAGCGUUACUCGGAAUCACUGGGCGUAAAGCGCGCGCAGGCGGUCUUUUAAGUUGGAUGUGAAAGCCUACGGCUCAACCGUAGAACUGCAUCCAAAACUAUUAGACUAGAGUGCGGGAGAGGAAGAUGGAAUUAGUUGUGUAGGGGUAAAAUCCGUAGAGAUAACUAGGAAUACCAAAAGCGGAGGCAAUCUUCUGGAACACUUCUGACGCUGAGGCGCGAAAGCGUGGGGAGCAAACAGGAUUAGAAACCCUAGUAGUCC
rnacentral:rRNA from 1 species